CAGGGCCCACUCAUAUCUGAUGCAUAUAAGCAGGAGAUAUACAAAGCUCUCACUCCACUCUCUACCUUCUUCUCUAUACCAUAGGAUUUCCAGAUAACCGCCGCUUGAAGAGAUAAGAUCGCCAUUGCAAAGAGAUGGCCUCAGCACAAGCGAUAUUCACGUCAGCUCUAUCCAGUAGGAGCAACUGUUCUUCACUUUCAAAGCUCUCGAACAGCACUUUCUUAUCUGGUUUUGACAUUGUUGGGAGUGUGGUUAUUUCAAGAAAGAACCAAUUUAUAAGCCCUGCAGCAACAUUGACCUUUGAUCCACCAACUACGAAUUCGGAGACUAAAAAACAAAGGAAACACACAGUUGAUCCUGCUGCUCCUGAUUUCCUCCCACUUCCGUCUUUUGAACAAUGUUUCCCUAAGAGCACAAAGGAGAACAAGGAAAUCAUUCAUGAACCAUCUGGUCAUGUCCUCAAAGUUCCAUUCAGAAGAAUCCAUCUUUCUGGAGAUGAACCGCAUUUUGACACUUAUGAUACAAGUGGACCACAAAACAUAAACCCGCGUGAAGGUCUCCCCAAAUUGCGCAAAGAAUGGAUUGAUAGGCGGGAGAAGUUAGGUGGAGAAAGGUUCACUCAAAUGUUCUAUGCCAAACAGGGAAUCAUAACCGAGGAAAUGGCGUAUUGUGCUGCUCGUGAGAAUCUCGAUCCCGAAUUUGUAAGGUCUGAGGUUGCUCGUGGUCGUGCUAUUAUCCCUUCAAACAAGAGACACUUAGAAUUGGAACCCAUGAUCGUUGGAAGAAACUUCUUGGUAAAAGUUAACGCAAACAUAGGAAAUUCUGCUGUUGUGAGCUCCAUCGAAGAAGAAGUUCACAAACUCCAAUGGGCAACCAUGUGGGGGGCAGACACUAUCAUGGAUCUCUCCACUGGUCGACACAUCCACGAAACCCGAGAGUGGAUCCUCCGCAACUCGGCUGUACCUGUUGGCACGGUUCCCAUUUACCAAGCACUGGAGAAAGUUGACGGAAUUGCAGAGAACUUGACUUGGGAAGUCUUCAGGGAAACUUUGAUUGAGCAAGCAGAACAGGGUGUGGAUUACUUCACAAUCCAUGCCGGUGUUCUGCUUCGAUAUAUUCCCUUAACUGCCAAGCGCAUGACUGGAAUCGUUUCUCGUGGAGGGUCCAUUCAUGCGAAAUGGUGCUUGGCUUAUCAUAAGGAGAACUUUGCCUAUGAACACUGGGAUGAUAUUCUCGACAUAUGUAAUCAAUACGAUAUAUCUCUAUCUAUUGGUGAUGGGUUAAGACCCGGUUCAAUUUAUGAUGCUAACGAUACUGCUCAGUUUGCUGAGCUCUUAACUCAAGGAGAAUUGACCCGCAGGGCUUGGAAAAAGGACGUGCAGGUUAUGAAUGAAGGACCAGGGCAUAUUCCACUUCACAAGAUCCCUGAAAACAUGCAGAAACAGUUGGAAUGGUGUAACGAAGCACCAUUCUACACACUUGGGCCAUUAACAACAGAUAUUGCUCCAGGUUACGAUCACAUCACUUCAGCAAUUGGUGCUGCCAAUAUCGGAGCACUUGGAACAGCUUUGCUUUGUUACGUUACCCCAAAAGAGCACUUGGGCUUACCCAAUAGAGACGAUGUGAAAGUGGGUGUUAUAUCGUAUAAGAUAUCAGCUCAUGCAGCCGACUUAGCGAAAUCCCACCCUCAUGCACAAGCUUGGGAUGAUGCUUUAAGCAAGGCUAGAUUUGAGUUUAGGUGGAUGGACCAAUUUGCAUUGUCUCUUGAUCCUAUGACUGCUAUGUCUUAUCAUGAUGAAACUUUGCCUUCCGAUGGUGCUAAAGUGGCGCAUUUCUGUUCGAUGUGUGGUCCUAAAUUCUGUUCCAUGAAAAUCACGGAAGAUGUGAGGAAGUAUGCUGCUGAACAUGGUUAUGGAGAUGCUGAAGAAGCACUGAUAGAAGGAAUGAAUGCCAUGAGUGCAGAAUUCUUAGCUGCGAAGAAGACAAUUAGCGGCGAGCAACAUGGUGAAGUUGGUGGAGAAAUCUACUUGCCUGUAGAGUAUGUCAAUUCCAUGAAGAAUUAAAAAGGACGAGGGGUCAGGUGGGACAUGAAAAUGGUGCAAGCAACAAUGAAGUUAUUAAGAAGAAACAUGGGGGUGUCUGCAUCAUCAUCUGCUUAGGCAGGUUGGUCAGACUGAGAAAGUCCCUUUGAACCUGAACAGGAUCAUGCCUGCGUAGGGAGUGUGCAUUUUCUUUAUUUUCUUCUUUGCAGUGAUCUUCAUGUCUCUUUAACAAGAAAGGAAGGUUCUGACUCGUGAAAGCAGUCAGAAUAUGGCGAAUAUAUUCUAAGGUAUUAAUUAACCACGAAAUCCCAAUUUAGCUUGUUUGGAAGCAACUUGAUCAGAAGUUGCUUUUGUUAAAGCUGUUUAGUUUUGUUGUUAGAGUAAGAUCAGAAAUAAGGGCAUAAACACUAGUUAUGCCCUAAUAAAGCAAAAGAUUUAGAAAACCUAGUUAAUUAGGAUGUUGAGGAGGUUGGGACAUGAAAUUGAUAAUUAUGCCAAAACCCAAAAUGUUGUUUUUUGGAGAUUCAGUCUUAGCUAUACGCAACCUUGAUUGAUCCCGAUGAAUCUUAUAGUUGAGGAAAAUGUAAAGUGGUAGAUUUUUUGGAAAGUAAUAUUUUGUUACUAUCGUCGUCACAAUCACACUAAACAAACGUGAUUUUGUUUGAAAAGUGCGAUUGAACUAUUUUUAUUGGAAAAAAAAAGGAUUGAAAUACAGAUUUUGCAUAGAUCAUACAUUUUUUGUCAAAUAAUCUUUAUUUUAUUUUUUUUCGAUUUUUGUCGAUGUGACAAAGCUCUCUAGAAAAGAGUGAGGAGCUAUAGCUUAUCCUAAAUAUUAUUUGGUUUAUUUUGGCUAGAGUGACAGAAAAAUCUGUAUGAUAUGAAAUAUGGAUAAGUUUAUUUAGGCCUAAUGAGUUUUAGGACAUUUAAGUGUUUAUUGUUGUUAAAAAUUACGGAACGUACUACUGGAUAAUAGAGUUUAAUAAUUUAAAAUUUAGAAAAAUUGGUAAGCGUAAAAUGAUAUUUUAAAUAGAAGAAUAAAGUGAUUGAAAAGAUUUAAGUGAUGAAGAAGAGGGGAGAAAAAAUCAAAUUUAAUAAAAAAAACAAUUAUUUCAUUAUUAUGUUCUUAACCAAUGAUGGAUGAUAUUUGAUGUCAAUGGACAAGGCUUUGAUUUGUAUCAUAUUUUGGGUUUUGAAUCUAGCUUUCCUACUCUUUUUUGGGUAAUAUUAUUUGUACUAAUGUUAUUUUUUUU